AUUGAACGCUGGCGGCAUGCCUUACACAUGCAAGUCGAACGGUAACAGGUCUUCGGAUGCUGACGAGUGGCGAACGGGUGAGUAAUACAUCGGAACGUGCCUAGUAGUGGGGGAUAACUACUCGAAAGAGUGGCUAAUACCGCAUGAGAUCUACGGAUGAAAGCAGGGGAUCGCAAGACCUUGUGCUACUAGAGCGGCCGAUGGCAGAUUAGGUAGUUGGUGGGAUAAAAGCUUACCAAGCCGACGAUCGGUAGCUGGUCUGAGAGGACGGUCAGCCACACUGGGACUGAGACACGGCCCAGACUCCUACGGGAGGCAGCAGUGGGGAAUUUUGGACAAUGGGCGCAAGCCUGAUUCAGCAAUGCCGCGUGCAGGAUGAAGGCCUUCGGGUUGUAAACUGCUUUUGUACGGAACGAAAAGCCCUGGGUUAAUACCCUGGGGUCAUGACGGUACCGUAAGAAUAAGCACCGGCUAACUACGUGCCAGCAGCCGCCGUAACAC
rnacentral:rRNA from 1 species